AACUCGAUUGCCUUGGCAACGAAAAGACAGUGUGUCGCUGCGGAGCACCGAAUUGCAGCGGUUUCCUUGGAGACCGGCCCAAGAAUGGCCAGGCGUCGGAGCCCAAACCCAAGUCAACGAAGAAGAAGGCCAAACGGCGGAAGAGUCGGAGCGAGGGGAAGAAGCAGUCGGAGGACGAGUGCUUCCGCUGCGGAGAAGGAGGAGAACUCGUGCUGUGCGACCGCAAGGGCUGCACCAAGGCCUACCACUUGUCCUGCCUGGAUCGCACCAAGAGGCCCUUCGGUCGUUGGGACUGCCCAUGGCACCACUGUGAUGUGUGCGGUAAGAACUCGGAGGCCUUCUGCCAGCUGUGUCCCAACUCCUUCUGCAAGGCCCACCAGGAGGGGGCGCUGCAGCCCUGCCCCACCACAGGAAAACUCUGCUGCCAGGAGCACGAGGAGUCGGAGCCACUGGCCCCAUCUGAGCCCCAGCAGGGCCAUGCUGCCUCCUCUGAACUGCCCAUAACCCCUUUUCCUACCCUGGCCCCAGCCGAACCUCUGCUCCAGAAACCCUCAAAAGCAGGUGCCAAGAGAGCGCCCAGAUCAGCACCCAAGAAGGCCCUCAAAAAGAAUAACUCUGAAAAGUCAGUAGAGGUUUAAAGAGACAGUGGACUGAAGAUAUUGACCCCUCUCCCCCACUCAGCCUAACAUUCCCAUUCCCUGACUUAAAAGUCCACUUUCAGACAGAUUGUUUUGUUAUAUUUUGUGAUUUUUUUAUGUACAUUUCUUUUAAAGUGUAAAUUAAUAUCAAAGCAAUCUUCCCACUUCAUCAGUAACCUUACGUACAAUAGUCAUGUCGGUUGGUUAUAUAGCCAAGAAAAUGUAUAUU
rnacentral:lncRNA from 1 species